rnacentral:rRNA from 1 species
UGGGUAACCUGCCUCAAAGAGGGGAAUAGCCUCCCGAAAGGGAGAUUAAUACCGCAUAAUAUGUUUAGGUCGCAUGACUUUAACAUCAAAGGAUUUUCUUUUAGAAAUUCCACUUUGAGAUGGACCCGCGGCGCAUUAGCUAGUUGGUGAGGUAACGGCUCACCAAGGCAACGAUGCGUAGCCGACCUGAGAGGGUNAUCGGCACAUUGGAACUGAGACACGGUCCAGACU